rfam:Caenorhabditis japonica strain DF5081 Contig4803.11, whole genome shotgun sequence.
GCCGGUUUACCUGUGUAUAGUGGUUAGUACUCCACGUUGUGGCCGUGGCGACGCUGUUUCGAUUCCAGCAGCAGGCA